rnacentral:rRNA from 1 species
UACGGAGGGUGCAAGCGUUAAUCGGAAUUACUGGGCGUAAAGCGCACGCAGGUGGCUGAGUCAAUCGAUUGUGAAAGCCCUGGGCUUAACCUGGGAAUUGCAGUCGAUACUACUCAGCUAGAGUAUGGGAGAGGGCAGUGGAAUUCCCGGUGUAGCAGGUGAAAUGCGUAGAGUAUCGGGAGGAACAUCUGUGGCGAAGGCGACUGCCUGGACCAGCACUGACACUGAGGCACGAAAGCGUGGGGAGCAAACAGG